rnacentral:rRNA from 1 species
UACGGAGGGUGCGAGCGUUAAUCGGAAUUACUGGGCGUAAAGCGUGCGAAGGCGGUCCGCAAAGUCUGAUGUGAAAGCCCCGGGCUCAACCUGGGAACUGCAUUGGAAACUAACGGGCUCGAGUGUGGCAGAGGGGGGUGGAAUUCCACGUGUAGUGGUGAAAUACGUAGAGAUUGGGAAGAACACCAGUGGCGAAGGCGGCUAUCUGGACGGUUUCUGACGCUAAGACGCGAAAGCGUGGGGAGCAAACAGG